UACAGAGGGUGCGAGCGUUAAUCGGAAUUACUGGGCGUAAAGCGUGCGCAGGCGGUUCGUUGUGUCUGAUGUGAAAGCCCCGGGCUCAACUUGGGAACGGCAUUGGAAACUGGCGAGCUAGAGUGUGGCAGAGGGGGGUGGAAUUCCGCGUGUAGCAGUGAAAUGCGUAGAGAUGCGGAGGAACACCGAUGGCGAAGGCAGCCCCCUGGGCUGACACUGACGCUCAGGCACGAAAGCGUGGGGAGCAAACAGG
rnacentral:rRNA from 1 species